UGGUGCCUACGGGACGCAGCAGUGGGGAAUAUUGCACAAUGGGGGGAACCCUGAUGCAGCAACGCCGCGUGAGUGAAGAAGUACCUCGGUAUGUAAAGUUCUAUCAGCAGGGAAGAAAAUGACGGUACCUGACUAAGAAGCACCGGCUAAAUACGUGCCAGCAGCCGCGGUAAUACGUAUGGUGCAAGCGUUAUCCGGAUUUAUUGGGUUUAAAGGGUGCGUAGGCGGUCCGUUAAGUCAGCGGUAAAAUUGCGGGGCUCAACCCCGUCGAGCCGUUGAAACUGGCAGACUUGAGU
rnacentral:rRNA from 1 species